rnacentral:lncRNA from 1 species
AGUGGUUUAUCAAUAGUACUACAGACUUGCCGUAAAUAGUGUUAGUGGGAGGAGUGAUCACAGGACAAACAAAUGAAUUGUUCCGUGGCUCAAUUAGAUGAAAGUUAAAAGCUAUUAUGUACUGGCACCUAAGAAUAAAAUACAAAUUGUUCUUCAAUACAAUAACACAGCUGUUAUGAGUCAGGCUGCAAGUGCGUAGUAGCGACAAAACCAGAUAUUUGUAUACUAUGUAUACUAAGAUAUAUAGAUAAGAUACUAUACCUUAUGGUAUAUAAAAAAAAAUUAAGGAAGGUCUAUAGAUUAUUUGGCAUUUAUUGUUAUAAUAUAAUUUUGUUAUCUGUUAUCUUAAAUUUUAGGCGUCGGAUAACAGUGUUUUUAUUUUUGUAAGUACAUUGCUAUCAGAUCUAUACAUUAUCAACUCGGUUUUUGAAAUACAGUUUGCACAAAUUGUAAUACACACACAUAAUAACACACUCGCUUGUGUGCAUUUUUAAACUAGAGAAGCCAGUUGAUGCAAAUGUACAUAAUGAACUUAUAUGAUGUUCAAAACAUUAAACAUCAAUUACCGGAUGUAAUUUUGAAAUUAAAGUAUGAACUAAACCAUUGUUUGCCAUAUAGUUAUCGCUAGAAUUCUAAAUCUAUACUUUGGCUUAUAAGCCACCAAAGCAGAAUGAAGGAGAGAAGUUUUUAAUCAACCUAUAGAAUUUCUAUUGGUUUUCUUUCGGUUGUUUAAAAACUUCUCUGCUCUGGUGGAACUAUGGCUUAAGUGCACCUUUAACCUAUAUUUUGUAGGUAAUGUAGGCAUCUAAAAUAGACAACACUAAAGUUCCUUAGCUAGUACAAAGAAUCAAUAUUUUACACUCGGCCUAUACCUAUAAUUAUGUAUUAAAAUCAUUCUGUACAAAAUUUUAAAUGUGAUGUAACAAUUAUAAGAAAAAUAAUGUAAUCAAAAAAAUGCAGCUUUUCAAAAUGUGAUUCAAUUAUGCAAUUUUAAAAUAUCAACCAAGUGUGUUAUAGAAUAUUACUUUUAUAUCUACUUCACCAGCAAGGAAUAAAUAAUAUCUACUGAAUUUA